GGUGGCUCAUUGGUAGAGCACUUGCCUUGCAUGCAUGAGGCCCUGGGUUCAAUUCCUCAGCACCA
rfam:Dipodomys ordii contig_19103, whole genome shotgun sequence.